GCCGGUGGAGGCAUCACCUCGGUCGGCUUGAGCUUUAUACUUUCGACGAGGUGCAUAACUCCAGCCCAGAAACAAUACCCGAAUAGAUAGCCUACGUUUAUUGCUCUUUGGUCGCUUUCAUUAUAGCCUAGAGGUAGGCUAAAUCAAGUUAGUAGGCUAUACCGGUGAUUGAUUUUUUAAAGUAUGAAUUUAGCUCAGGAAAACGAAGAUUCCAAAUAGAUUCGUUGUGGUUCCAUUUCAUGUGAAGAUUAUGUUGUCAGUUUAGGUUACAUUUUUACCUCAUAGCCAUUAUAUCUGGUUUCGUUUGUUUAGAAAUCCGCGUGCAGUUUUAUCUGUUGAAGUGUUGAUCGUGGUUUGGCCAUAAUAGCAUACAGUUUGUUCCCUCACUGGUUGUGCUUAAUGAUAUACUUACACAGACUAUGCUGAGACGGUAAGAGAGUCCACAGCCACCCGUACCUGAAUGUGGGCUAUCGGACUCGAUUUAGUGAUUAUAUUUCAUGUCUGUCCAUUUCCGUGACUCGCUGCUGUUUUGUGAACGAUUCACAGCAAGGACAGCGAUUAAUAAACCGGACAUUGCCACUUUAAAAACUGCCCCGGGUCAUUCGAAAAGCGCAGAGGCAGAUGCUGCGUCGAGGCAAGAAGAAAAGAAAACAAAUGAAUGAAUUUCGAGGGCAAAAUCGACAGAUAGAACGCGGUUGAACACACACAAUACUCCAUGCAGCUCCGGGAAUGUCCCUGCCUGCAGCCGGCCCUCUCCUCCCCGGCUUCCCAAACUUUGAUCAGCGAGGCCUGGCCGCGGAGCCGUGCAGCAUGGUUUGCUGGCAGAGGAGGAUGGGUAUAAAUGGAGACUGUCACAGGAGAGGAUGGUAAAGACCAGGGGCAUGUUCAGGAGGCAGACAACGUUUUGAAACAGAGUGAAACAGCUAAGGUGUGCCCUCCUUAACAGGCCCCUGCCCCUGGUAGAGGUGCCAGCUGGGGCACUGGCCUGGGCAUGGUUCCCUCAGACUCAGAGAGACAUUGGCAUGCAGGGCAUCAUGUCACAGUGUGGGGCACCAGGGGAGCGUCAGUGGGCAAACCAUAGAAAUAUAAUGAAUAGAACAGGCGUCCCCAUUCAAGUCAAUUAUGCCCACAGUGGAGGUGUCAUAAU